rnacentral:tRNA from 1 species
GGAGAGGUGGCUCAGCAGUUAAGAGCACUGGCUGCUCUUCCAGAGGUCCUGAGUUCAAUUCCCAGCAACUACA